rnacentral:siRNA from 1 species
AAUAUCAAGUGCAACUUUUUGUUG